rnacentral:rRNA from 1 species
GACGAACGCUGGCGGCGUGCUUAACACAUGCAAGUCGAACGGAAAGGCCCUGCUUUUGUGGUGCGCUCGAGGGGCAAACGGGUGAGUAACACGUGAGUACCCCGCCCUUCACUUUGGGAUAUCUUCAGGAAACUGGUGCUAAUACCGGACAGGAGCUUCUGCUGCUUAGGGGGGGUAGGAUUGUUUCGGCGGUUGGGGAUGGACUCCCGGCUAAUCAGCUUGUUGGUGGGGGAGUGGCUUACCAAGGUAUUGACGGGUAGCCGGCAUGUGAGGGUGACCGGCAACAUUGGACCUGAGAUAAGGCCCAGAAAACGACGGGAGGGAGCAGUGGGGAAUUUGACACAGUGGGCCGACGCCUGAUGAAGCAACGCCGGGUGGGGGAUGACGGCCUUGGGGUUGUAAACCGCUUUCGUAUGUGACGAAGUGUUAGUGACGGUAAUGGGUUAAGAAGCACCGGCUAACUACGUG